rnacentral:rRNA from 1 species
GACGAACCGUGCGAACGUUGUUCGGAAUCACUGGGCUUAAAGGGCGCGUAGGCGGGCUGGCAAGUCAGGGGUGAAAGCCCACGGCUCAACCCGUGGAAGUGCCUUUGAUACUGCCGGCCUGGAGGGAGGUAGGGGCGUGCGGAACUUCCGGUGGAGCGGUGAAAUGCGUAGAUAUCGGAAGGAACACCGGUGGCGAAAGCGGCGCGCUGGACCUCUUCUGACGCUGAGGCGCGAAAGCCAGGGGAGCAAACGGGG